UGUUCCCAGGCACAGCUUUGCCGCUCUUCCUGCAGGCUUGGCGACAGCCCCUCUGAGCUCUCUGCAGGUGAGGCCCAGAAUUCCCAGGAAGAGCUUUCAGUGGGCUGAAGGGGCCACUGUUACCUUUCAUCUGUCGAUCUGAAAUGGAAGCUGGGACUGGGUUGAGCCGAUGACACACCUCAGUGUAUCCUGACAUGGGAGGACACUCUUGUGGGAGCAGAAACUGUGACCGGGUUCUUCAUAUCAAGUAUUUACACGCACUGCCCAGCCUUCGCGUGCUGUCCAAUUUCUCCAGGAUAAAAGGAGUGGCUCACAGCAGGGCCGCGCAGAGAGAACAGUCCCACUCAACAGGAGACCAGAUGUGCUCAUCAGAAGAUGCAUAACGAGUAGCCCCCAGUGUCACAGGAUGUGUCAGGUAAGUAUGACAGAGAAUUGGCACUAAAGAGCAUCCAAGAGGAAACCUUCACCUGGGACCAGAGUUGGCCUGAAAGGACAGGUGGCUCUGCUGAAGGGAGAGUGCAGGGACUGUCUGGAGGCUGAGCUGACCAGGAUGGCCAGAGCAGGGGACUGUGUGGGGACAAAGGAAAUAAAACUG